rnacentral:rRNA from 1 species
UAAGACGAACCGUGCGAACGUUGUUCGGAAUCACUGGGCUUAAAGGGCGCGUAGGCGGGCUCUCAAGUCAGGGGUGAAAUCUUUCGGCCCAACCGGAAAAGCGCUUCUGAUACUGGGAGUCUCGAGGGAGGUAGGGGUCGGUGGAACUGGUGGUGGAGCGGUGAAAUGCGUAGAUAUCACUAGGAACGCCGGUGGCGAAAGCGACCGACUGGACCUCUUCUGACGCUGAGGCGCGAAAGCCAGGGGAGCGAACGGGAUUAGAUACCCCGGUAGUCCUGGCCCUAAACGAUGGGUACCAGAUUGUAGACUUGACAUGGGUUUACAGUCGAGGCAAAAGUGUUAAGUACCCCGCCUGGGGAGUAUGGUCGCAAGGCUG